CUAAAACAAUGGCGGACGAGAUGGCUACGGUAGCGCAAGAGGAACCUACAGACCGUACAUGUAAGUAUCAGCGGUAAUUAAACAUGGUACUGAUAUUAAAAUGUACUACUAACAUGCCAUUCUCAGAUUAAAGCCAGCGACAUGAGUAUUUGGUGGCGUUAACGAUGUAUAUGAUGUAUACCGACUGUUAGCAUACCUAGCUAGCUAGGUAGCAUUAGAUGCCAUUGGAUCUGCAUGGCAGUUAUGAUAAGCUAGCUGGCUAAUCCACCACCCGGUCCUCUUUGCGAGUCCGGUGAAGGUGCACUUUUAUCGGACACUUUUAGCUUGACGAGCGGGGGCAGGUGGCGGGCUCCAGGCGCUUGUCAGUAAUCGGACAGUGUUAAACAACGGCUGUUCUGUUAAACAAUCGAAAUAGCAAUUUUAAUAAUGGAUAUGCUCAGUUUAAUAACGGGUUAACAUGACAAUGCGAACGUUUGCCCACACGCCGCCCGAUAAUUAAUACCGUUACGAUAGCUAUCGUUACGAGAUGGCUACGGUAGCUAGCUAGGUAGCAUUAGAUGCCAUUGGAUCUGCAUGGCAGUUAUGAUAAGCUAGCUGGCUAAUCCACCACCCGGUCCUCUUUGCCAGUGCGGCGCUUUUAUCGGACACUUUUAGCUUGACGAGCGGGAAAUAAUUGUAGCUUUCAAUCAUUGUUGUGUGUUUUUUUAUUUUUUAAUGUCGUGGUAUUUCACAUGUCUAGGGACAGACGAGGACACGAGGGCCUUAAUCCCGUGGCGGUCGGUGCACAAAUCCCUCUUCACGGGGAAGAGGAACGCCUCCGUGACUGGAUUUGAAGACGUUUCCUGGAGGUGCUGGUGCUGGUUCUGGUGCUGGCUGGUCCUCUGCUGCCCUCCCGACAUCUGCAUCUGGCUCCAGCAGGUCACCGUUGGUGAGGCAGAUGUUGUGGAGCACAGUGCAGCAGACAAUGACCUCUGGCACAAACCUCACAUCCACCUCCAGGGCCUUCAAGAAGAUGGACCGCCAUCGCGUCUUCAGUAUCCCAAAGGACCUCUCCACAACACACCUCGCCUUUGACAGGCAGCAGUUGUAGCGUGCUUGGAGGUGGUUGCGGACAGGCUGCCUGAAGGGGGUCAUGAGGCAGAUGGGUUGGGACAGGCAGGGGUAGCCACCAUCCCCAAGGAUACAGUAUCCUGGUGGAGGGUAUGACUGCUCAUAGUGGAUGGGGCUGUUUUUUAGGACCCUGGCAUCAUGCACUGAGCCUGGGUACCCCACACACACAUCUAUAAAUUUGCACUUAUCAUCACAGAUGGCCUGCAGCUGGAUGGAGUGAAAAAGCUUCCUGUUGAAAUAACAGGCAGCAUCCUCCGCUGGGGGCUUUACUCGGAUGUGGCAGCCAUCAAUAGCCCCCACCACUCUGCUGAAGGCUGCUGACCCAGCUAGACGGGCGAAGCGGGCACCUAGGCGUGGGAGUUCCUCUCCUGUAGGAACAACGGUGUACAGGAGCGCAGCGAUCUGCCCACUCAUCCUGUGCACCAGCCGGUGAACGGUUGCCCGGGGCAUGUCGAAGGCCCUGGCCACCACCCGAUAGGAGGUGGCGCUGGCAAGCCAAAAAAUAAAAACAAGACAGGAGAUCUCA
ensembl:lncRNA